rnacentral:lncRNA from 12 species
GCUGUGUCAGGGAUACUAGAUCACUGUUAGGGGAAAUAGUAACUAUGUGGGAAAAGACAGGAAGAAGUAUAUUUUAAAAGAAGAUUGAAAGAAACACCAAGACAGCAAAUGAAUAAAACAUGACAGAAGCAAUCAAGAGGCAAAGGAGACAAAGAAGGCAUUAAGGUGAAAAUAUUAAGUGAAUGACAGGGAGGAAAAGAUGCAUGGAAAGUAAAAAUGGAGAUCCAGGGCAAGUCAGUGAAGAGCAACAAAUACCUGCAACAAAUAGUUCACCCAUUGCAGAAGAG